AUGAUGUGGCUUGGUAUAUUAAUUACAAUAUGCUACUUUGUUCACUUUACAGCUAGCAUUGGGCCAGAACUUUCAGUUGUGCAAUAUCCUGAAGAUGCCAAUGUGCUUUUUAACUCAACGGUGUGGAUGUUGUGUGUAUUUGAGUACCCAGAAGAGGAGAAUGAGGAGCCAGUCGUGUACUGGAGGAAAGGCCCUAACUGCAAUAAUCUGCAGAGCCUUCAGUCGAGCACAGGGACUGCUAGGCCACAGAUACACAUUGUAAAGAAAAUACGCAAGGGAUUCUCCAUCUUGAAACUGAGCAAUGUUGAUCACAGUGCCAGUAAUUCAUAUUUCUGUGAUGUGACACUAACUCAGAAUGUCCGGAGCAAACGUGGAAGUGGCACCAACCUGAUCGUACAUGACCUGAAAUGCAAAGACUGUAUAAGAUCAGACAAGACUUGGUGGGGUUGGUUUCUUCUUCUUGGAUACACCAUCUUUGUCACCUCAGUUCUCAUAGCUUUCAGUAUUCAUCAGGGCUGUAAAAAGUGCAAGAGCAAGCCAAGAAGCACCAAUAGCAGUGGUACCUUGCCAAGUGACUGGAUUUACGACAUGCCAUCCAGACCAGUUAACAAUGGGUUUAAUCAAGAAUAUGAAGAUAUGUCGCUAAUAAGGACUUUCACUGACACUGGAAGGAAGAUGAUAUGA
rnacentral:lncRNA from 1 species